CUUAAAAAAUGUUCUUUUAAAAAAAAACGAAAUAGCUAGAGCUUAGAUAUUAAGCAUGAAACAUCUUCUAGUAGAUGUCUACUAAGUUUGUUCAAAUAAAAACCGUAGGUUAAGAAUUGGCCUCGCCCCAGGGGGUCAUUGGAAUUUCCUUAUUUGUAUAUAGUUAAAACUUUAAAAAUCUAGAGCUAGAGCUAAGAUAUUUAGCAUGAAACAUCUUGUUAAAGGUGUCUACCAAGUUUGUUCAAAUAAGGGCCCUUGGGUUAAAAUUGGCCCCACCCAGGGGGUUAUUGAUUUCCCAAGGUAUAUGUGUAUAGUAAAAACUCAAAAAAUCUUCUGAUAAAAAACCCAAUGAGCUAGAGUUUAGAUACUAAGCAUGAAAUAUCUUCUAGUGAGUGUCUACCAAGUUUAUUCAAAUAAAAGCCCAUGGGUCAAAAUUGGCCCCUCCCAGGGGGGGGAGGGGUCAUUAUUUUUCCCUAUAUUCACAAAUAAUACUAAUUAUAUUUAAAAGAAACAAAAACUUUCGAAAGAAAAACAUAAAUCAUGAAUGUAUUGUAAACAGUUAGUCGUUUCAGUCCAGCUUUAGUUGUGUCCCCUAGUUAAUCAAAUGCCAAUUUUUUCUCUCUUCUUGGCCAUUCUAUAUACAGUGCAGGAUUUUAAAUUGAUUUUGGGCUUGUGUGGGUUAUUUAAUUCAGCGAGGUUUACAUGUCACAGAUAUGUGUGUGAAUUUUUAGUUUAUUUAUACUCUCCACCGGUUGCCCAUGUGACAGUUAUAAUAUGAAUUUGAGAUUUUGGAAACAAUUUGAUGUCUGCCUGAUGGACAGGUAAAACAACAAAAGAGCAGAUAAACGCUAACCGGUGCAUGUUUUUCACCAAACUCCUCACAGUGAUUACCUCCCUUGGCUGAAUUGUAAUCACUGCCUUCACAGACGAUGAUGAAAGUCACAUGAUGUAACGUCGAAAUUCAAAUGUAAAUAUUGACCGUUAAAUAGAAAAUCUAACGUCAUUUUUCUCUUUCUGUUUUAUUUUUAAUUUUUUACACCUAUGUCUGUUAUAUCUUAUUAAAAAAUUAUCAAAAGUAUAAAAAAUAAUGAAAAAUAAAUUAAAAAGCUAAAAAAUAUAAAUAUCAAAAUAUUGAUAUUUCAAUGUUUGUGAUGGCAGAGAUCUCUGUACUGAUAAGGGGAGAUCAUUGCGUAGGAGAUUGGUUUUUCACACCUUUAUGCACUCAUAAAUGUCCUAAUUACAAUUGCUUAUUGUACUUGACUGUCCAUUUGAACAAGCGUUAUAGCGCCCUAUAAAUCUAGAUCUACAUGAAUUUUAAAAAAAAUUUCUUUUGGGAGCCAAGGUCUAUGAGCGCUUUACUGAGAUUAGCAUUAUAACAGAGAGCGAUACAUUGAGGCUACAGUGUAUAUAGUAAAAACUUAAAAAAUCUUAUUAAAACCCCAAAGAGCUAGAGCUUAGAUAUUUAUCAUGAAACAUCUUCUAAUUGGUGUCAACCAUGUUUGUUCAAAUAGUUUAAAACUGGCCCAGUGGCCUAUAUACAGGUGAGCGGUUUCAGGGCCAUCAUGGCCCUCUUGUUUAAUACUUUCCUGUGUCCAAACCUUAUCGGGGGAGCAUCACCCAGUUCAACCGGUUCUUGUUUACAGAAAUAAUUAAUAACAAUUAUUUUCCGUAAAAGUAGAUAUUAUGUAUUUGUUUCACUUCAAAUCUUGAGUGGUCUACACAGUCAUGAAUAGUGCUCGGACCUGGUACUUUUGAUUCAGUUUUUCUAGUUAAUAUUCAAAUUUUGACUCACCUAUUAACCUUUCACCCAAUGAGCAUAAAUAUGAAAAUGGCCGUUUUCAUUGAAAAGCCUCCUGUUACAAGUUCCAACUGCUAUAAAAGUAUGAAAAAAUGCUUCAAUACUGAUGAAACUUGGCACAUGUGUUGACAGAACCAUAAACUCUGUAACAACAUGCUCAAUCUUAAAUUUCCUGUUACCACGGCAACAAGGGGACAUCUCAAAAUUGUGAAAAAUCACUAUUUUGCAUUGUUUUUUGUGCCCCCACUUAGUGGCGGGCAUUUACAUUUACCCUUGUCCGUCCGUCCUUCCGUCCGUCCGUUCUCUUUUGUGUCGCACGUACGGUAACUCAAAAUGUAUUUGACCUAGAGUCAUGAAACUUUACAGGAAUGUUGAUCAGCAUGUGUAGUUGUGCACCUGGGUAUUUUCGUCUGGAUAUAUUUAGUACCCUUGACUUAGUAAAAUUUUGCAAUUUUCAACUUGUGUCGCAUGUAACUCAAAAAGUAUUUGACCUAGAGUCAUGAAACUUUACAGGAAUGUUGAUCAGCAUGUGUAGUUGUGCACCUGGGUAUUUAUGUCUGGAUAUUUUUAGUAUUUUUAGAGUUAUUGCCCUUGACUUAGUAAAAUUUUGCUUGUGUCGCAUGUAACUCAAAAAGUAUUUGACCUAGAGUCAUGAAACUUAAAAGGAAUGUUGAUCAGCAUGUGUAGUUGUGCACCUGGGUAUUUUCGUCUGGAUAUAUUUAGUACCCUUGACUUAGUAAAAUUUUGCAAUUUUCAACUUGUGUCGCAUGUAACUCAAAAAGUAUUUGACCUAGAGUCAUGAAACUUUACAGGAAUGUUGAUCAGCAUGUGUAGUUGUGCACCUGGGUAUUUAUGUCUGGAUAUUUUUAGUAUUUUUAGAGUUAUUGCCCUUGACUUAGUAAAAUUUUGCUUGUGUCGCAUGUAACUCAAAAAGUAUUUGACCUAGAGUCAUGAAACUUAAAAGGAAUGUUGAUCAGCAUGUGUAGUUGUGCACCUGGGUAUUUUCGUCUGGAUUUAUUUAGUAUUUUUAGAGUUAUUGCCGUUGGCUUAGUAAAAUUUUGCAAUUUUCAACUUGUGUCGCAUGUAACGCAAAAAGUAUUUGACCUAGAGUGGAAUAUUGAUCAGCAUGUGUAGUUGUGCACCUGGGUAUUUUUAUCUGGAUUUAUUUAGUAUUUUUAGAGUUAUUGCCCUUGACUUAGAAAUUUUUUGCAAUUUUCAACUUGUGUCGCAUGUAACUCAAAAAGGAUUUGACAUAGAGUCGGGAAGGUUGCUCAGCAUAUUUAGUUUUGUGGAUUUAUCCAGUAUUUGUAGAGAUAUUUCCCUUGACUUUGUAAAAACUGUUUCAUUAUGUUAUUAUUUGUUCUUGAGUGCUUGAGUUAGAAUCAACCAACUUUACAGGAAUAAUGAUCAACAUCACUAAAUUACAGGAAUAAUGAUUCAUAUCACUGUGAAGCUAUGCACCUGGGACUUUUUUUUCAGUUUUGUUAGAGUUAUUGCCCUUGACUUACAGUAGUAUAAAUUUGCAAUUUUCAACUUGUUCAUGCAUAGCUCAAAAAGUAUUUCAGUUGUAGGCCUGAAAGUUUACAAGAAUGUUGGUCAGCAUGUGUACUUAUGCACCUUGGGGUUUGCUUGUGGAUUUAUUCAGUAUUUGUAAAGUUCUUGCCCUUUACUUAGUAAAAGAUUUUUAGUUUUCAAAAAAAAUUUGACCUAGAGUCAUAAGAUUGACAGAACAGUGUCGCGGUGGGGGCACCUGUGUCCUAUGGACACAUUUCUAAUUUCCAUCAAAACUGAUUUCAAAGUGCUGCACUUCUCAAUGCAAUGAGAUAGAGUAAAAGGCUUUUCAACGUUGGUUACACAUCACCUUAAGAUCAACCUGAGGCCAUUUUUAGCCUGUCACAUGUCCAAAAUGUUCUUGGCGAUGAGGGGGACUAGCGCCCCCACCUCAAACCCCCCAAACAGAAUGGGGCACAUCCCCCUUCUGUCAACCCCCUGAUGUAUAAUUUUGAUGGGGGACGCGCCGAAAAAGUGGUCACUUUUAACAACAUUUCUCAAACGAAAAACAGUGUUUGGGGCCUAAAUAGGGCAUUUUUUUACUGUUUGAGGCCUCAAAAAGGGGGGGGGGGACAAAAAGCCGUCAAAACAUGUCUAUAUGAGGGAAAAGGUUAAAGCUGAUGAAAUCUCAGGAGCUAUGAAUAUUGUAAGUGCUUCAUUGAUUCGAAUUUGCCUUGGACCAUUGGAAGAGAAACUGGAGUCUGACUGGCAUUUGGUGGCUUGAAGCAGCCUAUUGUUUUACACAUGAAUUAAUUCAUGAAUGUUCAUUUUACUUCAUUUUAAAAUUUUUAGAUUUGCCACUACUUGCCAGCUAUUUCCACUGAAAAGGGUGGCAUUAAGUGUAAAAAAGGUGCCAUUAACUGGAAAAUCACAAAAUUCCACUCUUUUUCCACUGAAGUGGCAAAAUUACCACCAAAUGGCACUAUCCGUUGUUGGCAUUUAGGUGGCAUUGAGUGGAAAUUUGAACAUAGACUUUUUUUAUGGUGGCAUAAGGGUGGAAAUUGGUGAAAAAUGAAACUUAGUUUAUUUUGAAAGUGGAAAAUGAGUGGCUUUUAGUGGAAAAGUGAAACUCUAACUAUUUUCUGGGUGGCAAAUAUGUGGAAAAAAACUUAGAAAAUUUUGUGAAUAACUUUAAGUCGAAAAGGGAAACGCUUAACUAUUUUCUGGGUGGCAUAAAAAUUGGUGGAAAAAACUGAGAAAUCAUUGCGCAUUGCAGGAUUGAAGAUUUAUUUAAGUCAAGCUCCAAACUGAAAUAAAUCUGUUUCUAGUUUUUACUCUACCAAAGCAUCAAGUGAACUUUUUAUCAAAAAUAUAAUUUAUUAAAGUUGAACAGUUAGAAAAUUUAUCAGAAACGGGUUUUUUUUAAAAAUCUUUUAUAUGCAAUACUAGAAUGCCAUGAACACAAUUCUGAUACAAAAUCACUGCCUGUUAUUAAGGUAUGAUAAUUCAAGCUGUAAAGUAGCAGGAAAAGACGGAAAUUGGACAUAAAAUCACUUUUCCAGGCAUAAAACACACAUAAUUAAGAUCAGGAAAAAUUAGAAAAGCAUGGGGUUACUUAACUUUCCAUUUUUUAAGGCAGUACUUUUCUUUAGGGAUGUUAAAUUUGACUUCAAGUCAGAAAUGCCUAUGUUCCAUUCUAUGCUUGUAAAAUAAAAUUAUGGCUGUAAAAGUGUACUUAGUUUUUUUAGUUGCAAUCUGUACAUUAUAUAGUUGAAAUGUUCUUCUAUGCCCAGAAAAUGCAUUUCUCUGUAUAAAGUUUGUUGCUACUUCUAUGACAUUUAAUGUCGAUCUUGAAUAAAGUUUGACUUUGGUCUUUUCUUCUAAUUGAGAUUUGUCUCUUUAUUAUCCUUAAACUGAUAUCUGGUGAGUACUAACACUUUUAAUGUUAUGCUUACAAUAAUUAAAGUGAAAAAUACAAAGGGCAAUAACUCCAAAAGUAUGCAAAAGAGUUAUGGUUCUUAAAUAUAGCACAUUACUCAAUAAGAUCUAUAUCUGUGAAGUUUCAAAUUAAUAUCUCCAUACUUUUUAAGCUUAAUGAUCAAGACAAAAAAAAAUUAAGCAGAGAAGUAAAAAAUGGCAGUAAACCCCAAAUCAUGCAAUAAAAAGUGAUGGUUCCUAGGCAUUGUUGGCAUCCGCGCCGAAGCGCGACGCCCCUUAUGGAAUGAAAUCAGAUUUUGUGAAAGGGCAAUUGCAACUUCUCGGGCCUUUUCGUCUGUCAUAAUAGCCGAUCAUUCCGAUUGGUAUGAGGGUGUUUGAUUAUCAAAAAUGAAAUGUCGGGAUAUGUACAAUGAAUUGCGAACUGGAGAAUUUCGCAAUGCAAACAUAUUCAAAUGAAAUUGUCUUAUCCGUCAAUUAAUCGCGCUCUUUGUGUUUUUUAUUAAUCAUGUGGGUUAUUAUGUAUGUUACUGCUGUACCUAUAAAUAUAAUGAUGACCUUAACAUUGUGAAAGUCCGAAAAUCUAUUUAUAGAAGUAGUUUUAGUUAAACAAAACGAUCAUUCGUGUCGCACUAUGGUAAUAAAUAACGAACUGGAUAAUUUUGCAGGAAAUGAAAUAAUUUUGAAAUUGUCUUUUCCACAUGUCUCUCCGGUUUUCUUUUUUACGGCCCUGAUUGCACUUAUGACAUUUUUAUCGUGAAUAUUUAAAUAGACCUAGUUCAUAACUUUAAAUGUCGCUUUUAUUAACAGGUCUAGCAGUAGUAUUCUAUAGUUCAAGUCUAACUGUUCUAUAUUUUUGUUUGAAGGCAAUUGAUUUUAUGGUAGUUUGAGUGGAAUGUUCACUUGCCGAAUAUUGUGACAAUUUGACAACAGAAACUUUCGUUUGCAAUUUUAACACAAGUUUUUAUAGGUUUAUUGAUAGGAAUGUAUACACACUGGUGGGUCAGAUGAUGUUUUUGAAGUAAUUCAUUAAAAUAGUAGAUUGACCUCCCAAUAAAUCAAUUAACAGACUUUGUUCAUUUGACUACUAUUUUGUUACAUGUUCCAAAGAAAAUACCACAUGAACUUGAAAUUCUAUCAAAUAUCAAAUAUUAAUGAUGAUAUCCAAAAAUAUCCCCUAUAUAAUAUAAAUAAAUUUCUAUCAUAUUGGGGGUAUAUGUUGGAUAUUAUAGACCUGUAUAUUUUGGAUAUUAUCGUUAAUAUUGAUAGAAUUUCAAGUUCCUGUGAAAAAAAAAUUCUGAUCUCUAGCAUGCCUACCAAAGUUCAUGAUGAACAAUGUCUGUUGUCUGCCCAUUCAUAAAUGAUAUACAAUUCUGGUAAACCCCAAUUAACCAUUGAAAAGUAUAAGAAUAUCUGGUCAUCAGAUGUCUACUUAAGUUCAUCUUCACUUGUUGCAUUUCUUGCUUGGACGCCCUUUGAUGCUUUGCAUCAAUGCUUUUCUUGUACUUCUCAUAAAUGAGAUUUAGUUAUAUGUGGAGUUUAAAAUUAUUGUCUCUAACAUCUUUUGUGCUAUGCUUUGCAGACGAAACCUUACAAAGGGCAAUAACUCCAUAACUUUGCAGGAGAGAGUUAUGUAUUUUUAAGGAAAAAAAACAUGAAUCAAACUUGUUAACAAUAAUAUUUAAAUGCUAUUUAAUAAAUAUACAUAUAAAAUAGAUUAGCUUACAAGAUAAUGAAGCACUGUGCUUGCUAAUUAUACCUCACUCUAAGUAACCAAGUCUGUGUAUGAAAAUAAGUCAUACACAAUAGUAUGCCUUUCAGAGGCUUUAAAUCUAUUGUAAAAAUAAUUGUGUGAAAAGUAAAUAACUCAUAAUGUCUGAUAAUUUCUUAUAAUCAGGAUAAGUAAAUACUAGCUAGUAAAUACUGCAUCCUCUAAGAUUUAACAUUACACAGCAUACAAAACAGAUCUGAUAAAACUACUGCCCUCUUAUCUAGUAAUCUAUGCAUGGGGGUUAAUAGUUUACUCAUGCUGACCAGACUGUUCCAUUUGAUUAUUUUGUGAGAGGCAACAUUACACAUGUUAUUAUGUAGAAUCUGUGUUAAAAUAGCAUGCUAAAUUAUCUUUCAAAAACUUAUUUCUACUCAAACUAUUUAGGUAUUAGACAUAGUUUAUACAUUCAAAUGAAUGUAAAAAAUAAAAUGAUGGGUGCUAUGGUUUUUGGAUAACCCCUCACAAUUUAAAAUUAUAAUGGACUCUCCAUGCAGUUACAAAGUUGUAACGUUUGAAUUCAAAGGAAUUGAGGUCAGUUAAAGCUUGCAAACACAAAGGAAAUUAUUGGUAUUGUAGCAAUUCUGGAGAUAUUUUGUUUAAAAUGUAAGGGUGAAUAUUUGAUUUCUCAAAGAAUACAUUAAAAGUCUUAUUAGUGUGGUAAAUAGAAAUGAGAAGUUUUAGAUGAAGUGUGAAUGUGUAGAUUAUAACAUUAGACAAGGAGAUAAACAGCACUAUCAUUCCAAGUCAAAGUUUCAGGUAAACAACUUUUACGUACAAUAAUUAUUGUUAUUGAUGCAGAAACUGUUUUUUAACAGUAAAAAUAUGAAGUGGUAUUGUAUAAAAUUAUGUUUUAUAUUUGUUUUGUUUGUAACUUGACUAAAAAAGAAAGCUGCAUGUACCAGACUAAACAAUUAUAGAAAUUAAUCAGUAAGUACAAUAACAUUAUGUACAAUAUUACAUCAAUCAAACUAUAGAUAACCAGGUACCUAUUACUACAACUUUCAUGCUAUAAACAUUUUUCCUUGUGUGUCAGUAACUGUUCUUUUAGUAAGUUUCAUUCCUUCAUUGUUGUAAUUCAUUUUUCAUAGUGCAGUAUAGAUAUAUAACCAUCACUAGACAGUCUAGAGUAACAAGCUGUUAGGAGAUUCAGUUCAUAACAGAAACAGCAUUAAAUAAGAUUUUUCUUUCGCAGACACAAAGCAAUAAGGAGCAGCCUGGAGCAACGCGCUUGUUCUUCAGUGGCUUUACAAAGGUUACAUCUUGCUUUGUUUCUCAGUUAAUUCAAAGAUUUUAGAAUUGAUAGGAAAGAAGUGUCACAGGACCAAGUGAUGGCAGAACUGAAUCCAUAUUCCUCAAAUGAGAAAGGUACAGCAAGGCUCUUCAGAAUGCUAUUCAAUAUACAUGUAGAAGAGAUUAAAAGCUGCUCAUUGUUUGGCAUGAGGAAAGGGAACAGAGAGUCUGACGCCAGACCUGCUUGUGCAGACAAGGCAUAAGUUAAGUUCUUGGAAGAUUGUGCGCAGGAAAAGUGGCCGACAACCCAAAGGACUGAAAUCCAUAGGGUGAUUCUGCACCUCCUCAAACUGUCCAGGAAUAGCAAGAUAAACUGAAGAAAAUAAAUGGACUAAUGUUUUGCUAUUUUUUGAGACAAUAAUUUCAUAUGGAGACAUUAAAAAGGAUUAUUUUUAAAAUUUGUUUGUUUCUCUUUUAUGGUACAGGGUGACUUUCAAGCAGUUUCCAGCUAUUGCCACCCACAAGGUGGAAAAUUUCUGAAAGGGUGAAAAUAGGUGGCAUUUAGUGAAAACUGAAUUUGCCACUUUUAGGUGGAAAAAUGGUGGAAAAGUGUCUAAAUACUCCACCAACUUUCCACCCUAAUGGUGGCAAAAGGUGGAAAUAAGUGGCAUUUUGUGGAAAAUGAGUUUGCCAGUGAAUGGUGGCAUUAUGGUGGAAAUUCGUCUAAAUACUCCACCAAUUUUCCACCCUGAUGGUGGCGAUAAGUGGAAACAAGUGGCAAAUAGUGGAAAAUGAGUUUGCCACCCUAAGGUUGCAUAAUGGUGAAAGUUUGUCUAAAUACUCCACCAACUUUCCACUCAUUGGUGGCAUUUAGUGUACAAAAGGUGAAUUUACUGGAAAAUUCUCUACCAUCAGUCCUGCUCAAAUUUUUCACCAUUUUCAUGAUUUGGGUGGUGUUUUGGUGGCAUUAUUGGUGGAAAAUUGUCUAAAUACUCCACCAUUGAAAAGGGUGGCAUUGAAGUGGCAAAUCUAGGGACGGGACUACAGCAAUGUGGAUCAAUAACCUGAAUUAUUUUUUCAUUCAAAUAUCAUAAUCUUAGUUAUCUUUUAGCUUUGUUAAAGCAAUUUAAAUGGGUUACAAGGUUUGAACUUACUACUUUCAGGCUGCAUUUGUACUCUGAUGAACAAUAGCGGCAUUUUGCUUUAAAAUUCCCACUUGUAUGCUUUGGUAAUAUCAAAGAUUUAUAUAACAGGGAUCGGAUACUCCCAGUUAACCGUAUAUAAAUGCUCAAAUAUCUUGUUGCGCACCCGAUAAUGGUAUUUGCGGGCGCUAAGCGUGAAUGCCCGUUCGCAACAGAUAUCUACUAUACAAAAUACCAUAUAGCUUUUCCAUUUAUUAUUUAAAGUUUAUUUUGAAGAAAAAUACAUGUUUAAUACAAAUAUCUAAUUUAACUCUGCAGUUCUUAUUUUUUGAGUUAUUGCCCUUUGUUAAUUUUCAUACUUUAAUUUUGUCCGGGCCAUUUCUCUUCAACUAAAAAAGCUAUGGACUUGAAACUUCAUAGGAUGAUAGAUCUCAUUAUUAAGAAGUGCAGUGCACAAGAACCAGUACUCUGCACUUCCUAAUUUUUGAGUUAUUGCCCUUUGUUAAUUUUCAUACUUUAUUUUUGUCCGGGCCAUUUCUCCUAAUGUAUAAAAGCCAUGGACUUGAAACUUCAUAGGAUGAUAGGUCUCAUUAAGAAGAAGUGCAGUGCACAAGAACUGGUACUCUGCAUUUCUUAUUUUUUGAGUUAUUGCCCUUUGUUUAUUUUCAUACUUUAAUUUUGUCCGGGCCAUUUCUCCUUAAGUAUAAAAGCUAUGGACUUGAAACUUCAUAGGAUGAUAGAUCUCAUUAUUAAGAAGUGCAGUGCACAAGAAUCGGUACUCUGCAUUUCUUAAUUUUUGAGUUAUGGCCCUUUGUUAAUUUUCAUACUUAAUUUUUGUCCAGGCCAUUUCUCCGAACGUAUAAAAGUUAUGGACUUGAAACUUCAUAGGAUGAUAGAUCUCAUUAAAAAGAAGUGCAAUGCAUAAGAACUGAUACUCUGCAUUUCUUAUUUUUGAGUUAUUGCCCUUUGUUGAUUUUCUUACUUUAUUUUUGUCCUGGUCAUUUCUCCUCAAGUAUGAAAGCUAUGGACUUGAAACAUCAUAGAAUGAUAGAUCUUAUUGAUAAGAAGUGCAGUGUACAGAAACUGCUGCUCUGCACUUAUUAUUUUUUUAGUUAUUGCCCUUUGUUAUUUUUCAUAUUUCAUUUUUGUCCUGGCCAUUUCCCCUAAACUACAUUGUUCACAAGGCGACACAUCCGACUCGCGGAGUUCUAGUUUGACAUAAGGUAUGCACAUGUCUUUUGUAAAAAUCAUU